CUAACAUCGUAUUCUAAUUGAACUUAAGGGAAAAACUUUUCCUCCUCUCCUUUUUAGAAAAAAAUUGAUGCAUUCAACAUUUCUCAAAAUGAAAGUUAUUCUAAGAGUGCCCACUACAAACAUUAAUACUAUAAGGUACAAUCUGUAGAACUGAUGAACCCUGUAAAACACACUGAGAUAUUUCCAAUUAGCAAGCAGAUCUGUUAAACAAGGAACUUUUCUUUCGGUAUUUUUACUGUAAUAUUUGCUACUAUCCAAGCUUUUCAGGAAAAUUUCGAAUGUACCAAGCAGCCAUUCUUCCAGGUGUAGAACCUCAGCUACACCAAAGAAGGCUGGAAAAUGACUAGAGUUUACCAUGUCCAGUAUCCCUUUAAAAAGGAAUAAACAACAGGUCAUGAUUUUAGUUUUUAAAAAAGUUCAGAUGAUCUUUUUUUCUAUAAUCAUAUCCAGCAGAGAAAACCCCUCUAUGGUAAUGUUUACAUGUUCUUCAAGAGAAUCACUUUUUUUUAAAAAAAGGUAAUAUAAUUCAGACGAGACCAGGAGACAACUAAAAAGACAACUAAGUUAAAUUUCAAAAAGAUGAGCAACUUAACACAAAUUUGGAGCUAACUUAAAUCAGAGUACAAACAGUGUUAUGUUUAAAAACAUCUAGGAGUUCCCAUCGUGGUGCAGCGGAAGUGAAUCCGACUAGGAACCCUGAGGUUGCUGUGACUCUGGUGUAGGCUGUGGGCUACAGCUUUGAUUGUACCCCUAACCUGGGAACUUCCAUAUGCUGCGGGUGUGGCCCUAAAAAGACGAAAAGACAAAAAAGAAANAAAACCAACCAAACCUAUCUGUACAGCUACACAUGGAGUGUAUAUGCACAAAACACGCCUAGAGGGAUAUACAAAAACCCUCUAACAGCAGUCAACUCUGCAGUGGAGCUGGCUGGCUGGAUAAAGGAGUGUGAUAAGACUUGUCUUUCAUUAAGAUAUCCAUUGGUGCAGGCUGACUUCUAUGUGUACUGCUGUAUAUCAGUGCAGGAGCCGGAGGAGGUAGAAAUUCUAGCAGCCAUGCUCGGUUCUUACAUUCAUGAAACUAAAAAGCUAAGCAAACAAACAAGAUGCACACAUUGAACAUAAAAACAAUUUAAAUACAGAAUUUAAAAAAAUUUAAAGGUGAAAGACACCAUAAAAUUUUUUAAAAUAGCAAAAACUUUUAAAAAUCAAGCAAUAUCAAGGAGUUGAUAUAAUCUCUUCUUCCCAAAAUUCAGAAGAAAUGAAAUAUAAAGAAACUAAAAAUUUUAUAGCAAUUAAAAAAAAUAAAAAAUAAAGACCGUUUUAUGGAGCACUGAAAAUUAGGUAGUAUGCCCAAGACAACGUUUUUUCUUCACUGCUUCAUCUGUUUCAAAAAUAAGUAAAAUACAAGCCUAAAUAUUAAGUAUCAUAUUUAUCUAUAAAGUGACUUCAGACCAUAAAAAAGGGAGAAAUGCAGUUACUGCCACAUAAUAAGAAUUUUUUCAGGACACAUAACAUAGCUUAUACCUAUUCUACUCCAAAAUCCAGGGUUGUAACACAUUUCUAAGAAUCAAUUUAACAUAUAGCUGUAAUGACACCAGCCAAUACAGACAAAUGUGUGUUUUCCGGUUUUUACUUGCACCACUGCUGCUUGGGGAAACCUGCUAUUGCAUUCUUUGUUUCUAAAAAUGCACUACAACGUCAACUGAUGAGUCACGGGUCACACUCCAAAUUCCCAUGUACCAACGAAAACAGGGCACAAAUGUCUUAAACAUCAAUUGUAAGGAGAGUCUAGUCAGCUGAGUUACAAAUCAAAAUUCUUUAUGUGGUGACACAGAUGAUAGUUUUUUGCAGACACGUGGGAAACUUUAAAAUAAAACUGCAAGAACUGAUAAAAUCAUUUCCCCUUGUUUCCUCUCCUAAUAACUGGUAGGGCUUUAUUUUUCUUAAUUCGGAUCAUAAGAAUAGUAAUUAAGCACUGUUGAUACUGACAGGUACGAACUCAAACCCUCAGCUUCAUGAAAAGCCACAGUACCUGAGAAAUGAUUGCCUGGAUGCCUUGCUUCCUACUUUUGCUACUGGGUCACUUCACCGAGGGAGCAAUCUCAGGAAAGGAUACCAAAGAGCAAGGGACAGAGACGACACUGUUUGUGUCUUUUGGGAGUCCCAGCCAAGGUCUUCCCAGUGAAGCAAGCAAGUCAAUAGCUGAAACAGCAGAAGCUGAGGACGGGCUGUGGAUGUCAGUGGCCGAGAUCGGACCACCUCGUCUCGUUUUCUUCCUAGCAUUCGUCUCAUCCUUCCCAUUGGCGGCUUACCUGUUUGUGGUCUAUCUCGACUCUGUAAGAACAGGCGGCCCACUUGCCUUGUUCACUGAGUAGGCUCACCACCUCUGGCCCCUAAGAGGCAUUCGAAAGAUAGCCGGUGGGGAGAAAAGACACAUAAUCGUCGCUUAGCUAUCUUACAUGCACAAUCACAAAAACACUGAAAUCUAUUUUCUCUUGAGACUAUUCUUUACCUAUAAUUUAUAAUAAUUAUUAUUAACUUUUGCCUUGCCAAAAAAACUCUCUAUGCUUACCGUUUAAAUUCCUUGUUUGCAUCAAAACAGUCAUCGUAAUGAAACUGUAAUCUGACUUAUCUCAAUUUCUGAUUUUUUCAAUUUUCUACCAUCAAAUAGAAAGAUAGUCUUUAGGAUAGAGAUGUUACUAUUUUUAAAUUGAAGUAGAAAAACUAAGAAAAUUAAGGUUUAUCUUCCAGAUAGAUCUUUCCAUAAAUCCUAGCAAACUUUAAGAGCAACUUCUUUGUUGUUUUUUUUUUAAUUAACAGAGCAAUUUUGUUUUCAAAAGGUUCAAGUAACCAAAAGAAUAAUUCUUUAUGGGCACACAAAGAAUGCUGUAUUAUGAACAAACAUCUUAAGAACUCCUUAAUGGUCUCCUCUGCUUUCCUCCAAGACCAAAUGUGAUUUACUGCCUACGAAACCAAACCAUAAAUAAAGAAAAUUAAGUCACACUGUCAUAGUCUGAACAACUAAAAUCAUACUGAGCAACUUUAUAACAUGUAAACCUUUUACAAGAAAAAAGUUAAGAUACAUUACUGAAAGCUGACUUUGAUGUUUAAAAGUACUGAGAUUUUAUCAUCCUUCUGUAUCCUACAAAAUGGAUUCAUUAAAAAAAUUUUUUUAGUUCUUUGCGUAAAUAGCUACCAUACCAUUAAAAAAUCCAGACUCACAGAAUAAAUCCUAAAAGCUUUCUUAAUGUUUCCAUGGACCUUCAAAGGCAGACAUAUUCAAAUAUGCUAACAAAUAUAUUCCAUACACCUGGAAAAAGAACAGGUCAGAGACGCAGAAAAAUUUUAUCUAUUUUUAACAAACUCUGAAAUGAGUCUAUUGAAGUACCAAUUAAUGUAUUUCAUAUGUAAUGAAAGCACAAAGCCUAAAAUUAGAGAAAUUAAUGAGGUCAAUAAAUAUUUCAUAUGAGAUCUAAUUGCUACGGAUACUUCUGAAAUCUUACUAAACAGCCCUGAGAGAAUGGUCUUAAAAGGCGGACUCAGCAACUAGGGAGCACACAGUCCAUAUUCAGCAGGAGAGGCUGCGGAAGCAAUCGCACGCUGUCCGAUACCUGGCUUCUUCCCAACCAUCACAUUUUUUAGUUUCGGCUACCGACUCUUUCCCACAGGUGUCUCACAACUACAGAAAACGAAAAGGACAGAGAAAUUCUCACUAGAAUAUGCUCAGGUUGACCCUUGAAUAAAUAAUGUGGGGGUUGGGGUGCCAAGGGCCCCCUGCCACCUCCACAGUCGAAAAUUCCUUAACAACUUUGCAGUGAGCCCUCAGUAUCUGUGGGCCCCUAGCCGCAGGUUGGGUGGUAGUGGAGCACUAUGUAUUGGGGGGGAGAAACCCAACACCCACAUAUAAGUGGGCCCACACAGUUCAAGGGUCACCUGUGUUAAGCACCAUUUGAGACGUGUGUCCCAGCCUCGACAGUGCCAUUUGUCCCCCGCAGUUUAAAGCUAUUUCAUUCCUUCUUUCCUUCUUAUCUACGUAAAGUCUGAGGAAUAUGUUCAAAGUAUUUUGUUUGGACCCUUGUCUUACAUGACAUCCAAAACUUGACUCAAAUGAAUUUAAGAAACUAUAAAACUCCUAGAACAAGAUAUAAGAAGAAAAGCUUCAUGACAUUGGAUUUGGCAGAGAUUUCUUGAGUAAGACACCAAAAAGCACAGCCAACAAAAAUAGACAAAUGGGGAUUACACCAAAUUUUAAAAAUUCUGUACAUCAAAGGACACAAUCAAUGAAGUGCAAAGGCCACCUAAGGAAUGGCAGAAAACAUGUGCAAAUAACGUAUCUGAAAAAGGGUUAAUAUUCAGAAUAUAUAACAAAUGCCUACAAAUCAACAUCAAGAAUCAAAUAACCCAAUUAAAAAGUUGGGCCAAAGACUUAAAAAAGACACACACUUCCUCGAAGAUGAUAUUCGAAUGGUCAAAAAGCCACAAUGAGAAGAUGUUCAACAUCACUAAUCAUCAGAGAAGCGCGAAUCCAAAUGCCAAGGGGGUAUAAACAAUGGAUACCUGUUAGGACGGCUAUUAUCUCAAAGAAAGCAGAGUAACAGGGACCGUGAGGAGGUGGAGAAACUGGAACCCUUGAGCACCGCCGAUUAGAUUACAAAGUGGUGCAGCAUUCACGGCAAACAAUGCAGGGGCUUUCUAAAGAUCCUAAAAGCAGAACUCCCACAUGAUCCAGCAGUCCCACUUCUGGGAUGGAAAAAAAUCGGGAUUCAAAAGAAUUGAGAGCAGAGUCUCAAAGAGAUGUCUGCACCCCCCACCUUCAAGCCAAUGUCCAUCAACAGAUGAGUGAUCAACAAAAUGUGGCACACACACCCAGUGCAGCAUCAUUCCACCUUUAAAAGGAAGGGAAUCCUGUCACAUGCCACAGCAUGGAGGAAUCUUGAGGUCAUUAUAUCAUACUAAGUAAAACAAGCCUGUCAGAAAAAGACAAAUUCCACAUGGUUCUAAUGACAUGAGGUACAUAAAGUAACCAAAUUCAAAGAAACAAAAAACAGAAUGAUGGUUACCAAUCAAAUAUCUUAUUAAUAAUUUUUUGUCUUUUUAGGGCAGCACCCGUGGCAUAUAGAGGUUCCCAGGCUAGGGGUCGAAUAAGAAAUCUAACUGCUGGCCUACACCACAGCCACAGCAACGUGGGAUCCAAGCUGCAUCUGCGACCUACAUACACUGCAGCUCACAGCAAUGCCAGAUCCUUAACCCACAGGGCAAGGGCAGGGAUCGAACUGAGGUCCUCGUGGAUAGUAGUCAAUUUGUUGCCACUGGGCCACAACUUUCCCAUCAUCAAAUAUUUUGUGCUGAUUACAUGUUAAUACAUUUUGAAUAUAUUGCUUUAAAUACAAUAUUAACUUUUUAAGAUAUUUCGUUAUGCUUUAAGAAUACUAACUAGAGGGCGUGGGGUCAAUGGAGUUUUGUUGUACAAAGUUUGGACUGGAGCAUCUUUGCGGGCUGGUGUGAAAAAGCCAGCAGGGACAGUGAUGAAUUGCGGAGGGAGUUAACUGGGAAGCUCUCCCAACAGAGACUGAAGGACGGGGUCAGGGGCACAAGUGGAGACGUGAGCCUUCAGCAGACCUGAGACCUACACAGAUGAGCUGGGGAGGGGACGGACACAAGUCUGCGGAGUCAAACCAGAGCCUCGUGAACGGCCCGGACGAUCUGCAGACUGGAGAAGCGGGGGUUGGAGGACAAAGGCUUUUCGAAUGACGAAGGUCUAGACUAAUGGGCAAGUGAUGAACAAGAUGCUGACAUGGCCCACAGGCCCCCCUGUCUGCCUCCAGCCUCAUCUCGCUCCACUCUCUUCAGCGCUCUCCCACCCACCUCUUCCCUCCCCGCCAGGCCCCUCUGCCCACCGCGUCCUCUGAGGACGAUUUAUCUGUGCAACACCCACCCAGCCAGAGACCUGGGCAAAGGCAACUUUCUCCGGGUGAACACCCAGCUCCCCACAGACGAGGUCAGUUGGCCUCGUGACAUCCCCAGACGACACCCUCUGCCACCGCUACUCAACAGAAAUCGAAUAUGGACCACACAGGCCAUUUUAAAUCUUCUAAUACCAUGUUUAAAAAAAAAGAAAGUGAGUGAACUACUUUUAAUAUUUUAUUUAACCCAAUGAUUCAAGAUAUCAUCAUUUCAACAUGCAAUGAACAUCAAAAAAUUACUGAGCUCUUUUGCCCUUUUUUGGGGACACCAAGUUUUUGAAGUCUGGUGUGUAUGUGACAGAACACAUCUCCUUUCAGACCAGCCACAUCCCAAUGUCCCUGCGUGCAGGUGACCGCGGCGCUGGACAGCAGAGGCCCUGCCGCUUCUUUGGCGCUCUGACCAUGCUUCCUAACUAUGAUGAGUGCUACUGUGUGGAGACCGCCUCUCUCCUCUAAUGCAAGCUCCAGGAGGACACCCCUGCUCUGGGAAUUCUCAGCUCCGGGUCCGAGCCCUCAGCAGGAGCCAAGUACACAGAGCUGACUGGGGGAGCCGGGAGGGGCUGCUUGAGAGGCGAGUCCCUGCACGGAGGGCCAGGCCUUGUAACGGGGCUGCCAAAGCAACUCGGGGGAGCAGCAGGGUUAACGCAAUGGGAACAGGCUGAGGAUUGCUACCUGGCAGGCAGAGACCAAAAGCAAGUUCAAAAGAAGCCCUUGGCAGUGAAAGCACAUCCCAGGUGCUUAAAGAGAGAUUCUGAACUGGACAGGGACGACUCAAGGCCUACAGGGAAUGGGAGGUGGGGUGAAUAAGCCCUGGCCGACUGUCCCCGCCCGGGAAGAGCAUCAGAAUGGAAGGGGGGUGUGGGGGGCAGAAAGCAGGCUGGGAGGCUGUGGUCCGAGAAGAGGAUGUAUAAACUUAAGAUCUCCAAUGUGGAAAGCGGGGGGGUGUCAAAAUACAGUGGAAGCGAAGGUCAUGGAGGCGAGGAGCCAGGGGACCAGAAGCCAGGGGUACGC
rnacentral:lncRNA from 1 species